rnacentral:hammerhead_ribozyme from 1 species
ACCCACCUGACGAGUCCCAAACAGGACGAAAUGCGCGUCCCGGAU